UACGUAGGUGGCAAGCGUUGUCCGGAUUUACUGGGUGUAAAGGGCGUGUAGGCGGGAGAGCAAGUCAGGCGUGAAAACUAUGGGCUUAACCCAUAGCCUGCGUUUGAAACUGUUUUUCUUGAGUACUGGAGAGGUUGACGGAAUUCCUUGUGUAGCGGUGAAAUGCGUAGAUAUAAGGAGGAACACCAGUGGCGAAGGCGGUCAACUGGACAGCAACUGACGCUGAGGCGCGAAAGCGUGGGGAGCAA
rnacentral:rRNA from 1 species